rnacentral:rRNA from 1 species
GUCUUUAAAAUUAAAAAUUUUGGCGGUAUUUUAGUCUGUUCAGAGGAACUUGUUUUUUAAUCGAUAAUCCACGAUAAGAUGAAUUUUGGUUUUUAGCUUACAUAUCGCCGUAGAUUGAAUAUUUUAUUAUUAAAUGUUAUCAGGUCAAGGUGUAGUUUAUAUCAAAAUUAAAAUGAGUUACAAUAUGAAUUUGAAUGAAAUUGGAUUUGAAAGUAAGCUCUAAAAUAUGUACAUAUUGCCCGUCGCUUUCAUUAUAAAAUGGAAUAAGUCGUAACAAAGUAGGCUUAUUGGAAAAUGAGCCUAGAAUGCAAAUUAGAGCUUGAUAAGCAUUUUAUUUACAUUAAAAAGUUAGUUGUGAAAUUCAAUUUAAUUUGAAUUUAAAAAUUUAUUUUAAUUUUUUUUUUAUAUGUUUUAAUUAAAAAGUUAGUUUUUUUAGUAUUUAAAUGAAAAAAUUAAUUAUAGCUUAUAGUAUUGUGAAGGAAUGUCAAAAAAUAUGGAAAAGAAAAAUUUAAUUUUUGUACCUUGUGUAUCAGGGUUUAUUAAUUUAAUUUUCUCGAAUUUAUAAGAGCUAAUUUUACUGUGGAAUAAGUAUUUAAAAUAUCAAUUUAGUAAUGAAACGUUAUUCGUUUAUAAAUAUAUCUAGUUUUUUUAGAAAUAUAUUUAAUAUAGGUUUAAAUAAAAUUUUUAUUAAGGGAUUAUCUUUAUAACAAAUUUUUAAAAGUAAAUGAAUUAAUAAAAACUAUAGGAUUAGAAUUUUCUAUUUUAAUGAGGAUGUUAUAAUUAAUUAUUUUAAAUUUUCUAUAAAAAUUUAUAUUUUAAUUUUUAUUAUUUAGUAAUAAUGAUGGAAUUAGUAAAGUUAAUAUAAGGAAUUCGGCAAUUUAUUUUUCCACCUGUUUAAUAAAAACAUGGCCUUUUGAUUAUUAUUUAAGGUUAGGCCUGCCCAAUGAUUAAAUGGCCGCAGUAAUUUGACUGUGCAAAGGUAGCAUAAUCAUUAGUUUUUUAAUUGAAAGCUGGAAUGAAAGGUUUGAUGAGAAAAAUACUGUCUUUUGAAUUUUAUUUUUAAGUAAAAAAGCUUAAAUUUUAUAAAAAGACGAGAAGACCCUAUAGAGUUUUUUUAUUGGGGUGAUAUAAAAAUUUAAUUAACUUUUUAUUUU